rnacentral:rRNA from 1 species
GAUGAACGCUGGCGGCGUGCCUAAUACAUGCAAGUCGAGCGAACGGACGAGAAGCUUGCUUCUCUGAUGUUAGCGGCGGACGGGUGAGUAACACGUGGAUAACCUACCUAUAAGACUGGGAUAACUUCGGGAAACCGGAGCUAAUACCGGAUAAUAUUUUGAACCGCAUGGUUCAAAAGUGAAAGACGGUCUUGCUGUCACUUAUAGAUGGAUCCGCGCUGCAUUAGCUAGUUGGUAAGGUAACGGCUUACCAAGGCAACGAUGCAUAGCCGACCUGAGAGGGUGAUCGGACACACUGGAACUGAGACACGGUCCAGACUCCUACGGGAGGCAGCAGUAGGGAAUCUUCCGAAAUUGGCGAAAGCCUGACGGAGCCACGCCGCGUGAGUGAUGAAGGUCUUCGGAUCGUAAAAAUCUGUUAUUAGGGAAGAACAUAUGUGUAAGUAACUGUGCACAUCUUGACGGUACCUAAUCAGAAAGCCAAGGCUAACUACGUG